rnacentral:rRNA from 1 species
AUGCACGCUGGCGGCGUGCCCAAUACCUGCAAGUCGCGCGAACAGACGAGGAGCUUGCUCCUUUGACGUUAGCGGCGGACGGGUGAGUAACACGUAGGUAACCUACCUAUAAGACUGGGAUAACUUCGGGAAACCGGAGCUAAUACCGGAUAAUAUUUCGAACCGCAUGGUUCGAUAGUGAAAGAUGGCUUUGCUAUCACUUAUAGAUGGACCUGCGCCGUAUUAGCUAGUUGGUAAGGUAACGGCUUACCAAGGCAACGAUACGUAGCCGACCUGAGAGGGUGAUCGGCCACACUGGAACUGAGACACGGUCCAGACUCCUACGGGAGGCAGCAGUAGGGAAUCUUCCGCAAUGGGCGAAAGCCUGACGGAGCAACGCCGCGUGAGUGAUGAAGGUCUUCGGAUCGUAAAACUCUGUUAUUAGGGAAGAACAAACGUGUAAGUAACUGUGCACGUCUUGACGGUACCUAAUCAGAAAGCCACGGCUAACUACGUG